rnacentral:rRNA from 1 species
UACAGAGGGGGCGAGCGUUGUUCGGAAUUACUGGGCGUAAAGGCGCGUAGGCGGCCUUCUAAGUCGAACGUGAAAUCCCCGGGCUCAACCCGGGAACUGCGUCCGAUACUGGGAGGCUUGAAUCCGGGAGAGGGAUGUGGAAUUCCAGGUGUAGCGGUGAAAUGCGUAGAUAUCUGGAGGAACACCGGUGGCGAAGGCGGCAUCCUGGACCGGUAUUGACGCUGAGGAGCGAAAGCUAGGGGAGCAAACGGG